rnacentral:rRNA from 1 species
UACAGAGGGGGCGAGCGUUGUUCGGAAUUACUGGGCGUAAAGGGCGCGUAGGCGGCCUGUUAAGUCGGACGUGAAAUCCCCGGGCUCAACCCGGGAACUGCGUCCGAUACUGGCAGGCUUGAAUCCGGGAGAGGGAUGUGGAAUUCCAGGUGUAGCGGUGAAAUGCGUAGAUAUCUGGAGGAACACCGGUGGCGAAGGCGGCAUCCUGGACCGGCAUUGACGCUGAGGCGCGAAAGCCAGGGGAGCAAACGGG